GUACAAUACCACCCACAUAUUGACCAGCUUUAAAGUGACCACCAUGGUGUAUUUCAAGUGUGAAUAAGUCAUGAUUACCUACACAACAUACAUCACAAUAUAAAUCAGGGAUCACCAAACAACACUUACUAACCAAAUAUCCACCAAUAUACAACAUUUACUAACCUAACUUGCUAAUUAUUUAAAGAAAGUCAAUAAAAGCAACAACUAAACAUAUUAUAUGUGCAAAGUUGAUAGUAUACAGGAAGUGCCAACAAUGCUACACCAAAAAGAUUAUACCAGCAAAGACCAGCAAAAAAAUAAAAUACUGUAUAGCAAAUCAAAAGACCAUAAUACAGUAAACAAAUUCGAGAUUAUGCAGCUUAGAGAAGGUAAAUUAAGAGACUCGGCAGCACAAGUUAGAUCCACAUCAGGGCCAUGCUCGGGAACCUAGACUUCCAAAUAAACUUGUCAGGACCAAAGGUGGAUGGUUUGGGAACUCGCUCCAAAUUCUUUCAAAAAAGCAAAAAUGCCAACUCAAGGAUGUUGCAGCAGAGUUCAUAAAUAUCUUGAGUUCUUGACUAGUUGGGAUUAAGAAAAUCUGCAACUAUCUUGGAAUCCUAUAUGAACUAGUUAUAAAGUCAGUCCGAGCAUCAAUUUUGGGUUCAGAUACAUAUUAGCUGCAACACAUAUAUUCUUUCCAUUGCAAAUUGCACAAAUACAUGCUCUUUCUCCAAUAUGUGGGAUUUCAGUUUUAGGAGAAAUCUUAGAGAGAAUAUGGUGGUGGAGAUGACAAACUUAUUGAGGCUGCACAAGGUGAUGAUAUUAUAUUAUUUCCAUACAGAAAGGAUGCAAGAAGAUGGUGCUUAGAGACUUCUUUGAACACCUUAAUUAAAUGGGUUAAGCUUAUAAAUGGAAAGUAUGGGAAAGAACCUGAUAGCUUAGAAAUAGUUGCAAAGUUAGCAUGAUCAACGAAAAAUAUUUUGUAAAUGUACAACAAAUAAAUGUAUUGCAAUUUUCAAAAGCCCCCACUCACAACUCUGUGAAUGUACCAAUAAAGGAAUAUAGUAGAAGGAAAUAUACAGGUUAUAAACAGUUUCAUCAAAAGGAAAAAAAUAUAUCUCACUGAUGAGCCACCACAGUUAAACUGACAUUUCUCCAUCACGAUUUUCAUGCAUCACAGCAAUUCAUAACUUAGUAACAGAGGCUGAGCUAGAAGCCUAGAAAAGCCCCUGACAUACCAAGGUGCUCACAGUUGAGGAAAUGAUUACGAUUAGAAACUUAGAAUAGGCACAUAAACCAGUUGAUAGACAAUCUGGUUCAACUUUAAGUGGACUUUCAAACCCUUGAUAUGUAUUAAUGCAGGGAUUUUGAUGUGGAAAGAAAGAUAACUUGGUCAACUUUCAGUUGUUGAUCAACUGGCAUAGCCACCAGGCAAUCGCCAAACAUUAAACCAAAUGCCAGUACAAGUUUGUUGCUCAGUUCUAUCCGACAAGUCACAUAAAUAUGGUACUUACACAAAUGUCUUCUAUCUUUUUCAAUAAAUUACAACCCAUCCCCUUCUUGAAAAAUUUAAAAGGUUGAAUGGCGUGUGGGUGUGGCUGGGCUGGGAUUAGGGUGGGAGGGUGUGGGACGCAUAACUGAAUAAAACAAUCAAGGGACCCCAUAUACACACACGACUGGAAAAAUAACACACAAAGCAAACCUUUCACAUAUUAAACAAACUGAAAAAGAAAAAGUGAAGACUUACUGUAUCUUGGAGGAUGCCCACCAUCCCUGACCACGAUACUCAUCGUUCUCAACUUCAAAACUCAAAAUACCUUCAAUAUUUUCUCAGAUCCAGAGCCAGGCGAAGAAAAAGUGAAGACUUACUGUAGCAAUUUGUUGAUUUCACCGUCUAUUCUCCAUAUCUUUU
rnacentral:lncRNA from 1 species